rnacentral:rRNA from 1 species
GGGGUUUCCGACCCUUAGUGCUGCAGCUAACGCAUUAAGCACUCCGCCUGGGGAGUACGACCGCAAGGUUGAAACUCAAAGGACUUGACGGGGACCCGCACAAGCGGUGGAGCAUGUGGUUUAAUUCGAAGCAACGCGAAGAACCUUACCAAAUCUUGACAUCCUCUGACCCCUCUAGAGAUAGAGUUUUCCCCUUCGGGGGACA